rnacentral:rRNA from 1 species
AUGCGGGUCAUGCUGCUGUCAGCCGCGGCCAACGUGCCCCGUGACUCCCUGAGGGAGCCGAGAGCACGGCCGACGGCGCCGAGCUGCUCAAGAUCGCCGUCGACGCCACCAGGCCGCAGCGGAGCUCCGACCCGAUGCCGUGCUCUACGACUUCGCAAGCCCAUGGAUCGCCCAGCUGGCGAGGCCGCUCGGCGUCAAAGCGCUGUAUUUCUCCGUGUUCUCCGCCGUCUCCAUGGCCUACCUCGGUGUCCCCGCGCGCUGCCUCCCCGGCCCCGGGCACUUCCCGUCUGCCCAAGACCUCACGUCGUCCCCGCUCGCCGCCGUGCCGGCCUACCAGGCCGCCGACUUCACUUCACGUACGUGUUCACCAGCUUCCACGGCAUGUCGCCCGUGUACGACCGCACCGUCGGCGGCAUCCAGGACAGCGACGCCGUCGUGGUCAAGACAUGCGUGGAGACGGAAGGCCCCUGCAUCAACUACCUCUCCGCCCAGUACAGCAAGCCGGAGCCACCACAGCGCGAGCUCGAGGAGCGGUGGGCCAAGUGGCUCUCCUCCUUCCCGGAGAAGGCCGUCGUGUUCGCCUCCUUCGGAAGCGAGACGUUCCUUCCGACUGCCGCCGUGACGGAGCUCCUCCUCGGCCUGGAGUCCUGCAACCGGCCGUUCCUGACCGUGCUCAACUUCCCCAGGGGCACGGACACGGCGGCGGAGGUCAGGAAGAGCACGCCUCCGGGGUUCGAGGAGAGGCGUGGUGCACACGGGGUGGGUGCAGCAGCAGCACAUCCUGCGGCACCGGAGCGUGGGGUGCUUCGUGAACCACGCCGGCCUGAGCUCCAUCGUUGA